rnacentral:tRNA from 1 species
CUCUAGCUAGUCUAGUGUCUAGGAUUCUUGGUUUUCAUCCAGGCUGCCCAGGUUCCAAUUCCUGGGCAGAGA